rnacentral:rRNA from 1 species
ACUCCUACGGGAGGCAGCAGUGGGGAAUAUUGCACAAUGGGGAAACCCUGAUGCAGCCAUGCCGCGUGUGUGAAGAAGGCCUUCGGUUGUAAAGCACUUUCAGUAGGGAGGAAGGUAGUGUAGUUAACACCUGCAUUAUUUGACGUUACCUACAGAAGAAGCACCGGCUAACUCCGUGCCAGCAGCCGCGGUAAUACGGAGGGGUGCGAGCGUUAAUCGGAAUUACUGGGCGUAAAGCGCAUGCAGGCGGCCUGUUAAGUCAGAUGUGAAAGCCCGGGGGCUUAACCUCGGAAUUGCAUUUGAAACUGGCAGGCUAGAGUCUUGUAGAGGGGGUAGAAUUUCAGGUGUAGCGGUGAAAUGCGUAGAGAUCUGAAGGAAUACCAGUGGCGAAGGCGGCCCCCUGGACAAAGACUGACGCUCAGAUGCGAAAGCGUGGGGAGCGAAACAGGAUUAGAUACCCUGGUAGCACAGAG